CCAGAGUCUUUCCAGAAGAAGCCAGCACAAUAAGUCAGUCCAUGUUGUUGGAAAGCCGGGGAGGAAUCCCUGGAAGGCUACCCUGAGAUCUCUCCAAAAGACUCACACAAGUUCUCCAGGCAUACCUAUAUGGAAGAUCCACUCCAGUGGCCUCCUCCUGACUUUCACCUUGGGCUGGAU
rnacentral:lncRNA from 1 species